UACGAAGGGGGCGAGCGUUGUUCGGAUUUAUUGGGCGUAAAGAGCUCGUAGGCGGCUUGUCGCGUCAACUGUGAAAACCCGUGGCUCAACCAUGUGGUCUGCAGUCGAUACGGGCAGGCUAGAAUUCGGUAGGGGAGACUGGAAUUCCUGGUGUAGCGGUGAAAUGCGCAGAUAUCAGGAGGAACACCGGUGGCGAAGGCGGGUCUCUGGGCCGAUAUUGACGCUGAGGAGCGAAAGCGUGGGGAGCGAACAGG
rnacentral:rRNA from 1 species